rnacentral:rRNA from 1 species
UCUGGGUUGAUCCUUGCCAGAGGUUACUGCUAUCGAGGUUCGACUAAGCCAUGCGAGUCGAAUGUAGCAAUACAUGGCGAACUGCUCAGUAACACGUGGACAACCUGCCCUUUAGGUUGGGUAUAAACCCGGGAAACUGGGUAUAAUACCCGAUAGGUCUCGAUUGCUGGAAUGCAUCGAGAUUUAAAGCUCCGGCGCCUAAGGAUGGGUCUGCGGCCUAUCAGGUAGUAGUGGGUGUAGCGUACCUACUAGCCUACGACGGGUACGGGUUGUGAGAGCAAGAGCCCGGAGAUGGAUUCUGAGACACGAAUCCAGGCCCUACGGGGUGCAGCAGGCGCGAAAACUUUACAAUGCUGGCAACAGCGAUAAGGGAACCUCGAGUGCCAGGUUACAAAUCUGGCUGUCGAGAUGCCUAAAAAGCAUUUCAUAGCAAGGGCCGGGCAAGACCGGUGCCAGCCGCCGCGGUAACACCGGCGGCUCGAGUGGUAACCGUUAUUAUUGGGUCUAAAGGGUCUGUAGCCGGCCGGAUAAGUCUCUUGAGAAAUCUGGCAGCUUAACUGUCAGGCUUUCAGGAGAUACUGUCUGGCUCGAGGCCGGGAGAGGUGAGAGGUACUUCAGGGGUAGGGGUGAAAUCUUGUAAUCCUUGAAGGACCACCAGUGGCGAAGGCGUCUCACCAGAACGGACCUGACGGCAAGGGACGAAAGCUAGGGGCACGAACCGGAUUAGAUACCCGGGUAGUCCUAGCCGUAAACGAUACUCGCUAGGUGUCGGCCACGGUGCGACCGUUGUCGGUGCCGUAGGGAAGCCGUGAAGCGAGCCACCUGGGAAGUACGGCCGCAAGGCUGAAACUUAAAGGAAUUGGCGGGGGAGCACCACAACGGGUGGAGCUUGCGGUUUAAUUGGAUUCAACGCCGGAA